rnacentral:tRNA from 1 species
GCCAUGAUAGCUCAGUCGGGAGAGCGUUAGACUGAAGAUCUAAAGGUCGCCGGUUCGAUCC